AACCGCGGUUAUACGAAAGGCCUAAGUUGAUGAAAUACGGCGCAAAGAGUGGUUAGGAUCCUAUCCAAUUAAAGCUAAACCCCCUCCUGGUUGUUUCAAGCCUAUGAGACCCUGAAACACAACUACGAAAGUGACUUUAUAUUCCUGAUUCCACGAAAGCUAGGAAA
rnacentral:rRNA from 1 species